AGUGAACGCUGGCGGUAGGCCUAACACAUGCAAGUCGAACGGCAGCACAGUAAGAGCUUGCUCUUACGGGUGGCGAGUGGCGGACGGGUGAGGAAUACAUCGGAAUCUACUUUUUCGUGGGGGAUAACGUAGGGAAACUUACGCUAAUACCGCAUACGACCUACGGGUGAAAGCAGGGGAUCUUCGGACCUUGCGCGAUUGAAUGAGCCGAUGUCGGAUUAGCUAGUUGGCGGGGUAAAGGCCCACCAAGGCGACGAUCCGUAGCUGGUCUGAGAGGAUGAUCAGCCACACUGGAACUGAGACACGGUCCAGACUCCUACGGGAGGCAGCAGUGGGGAAUAUUGGACAAUGGGCGCAAGCCUGAUCCAGCCAUACCGCGUGGGUGAAGAAGGCCUUCGGGUUGUAAGGCCCCUUUGUUGGGAAAGAAAAGCAGCAGGUUAAUACCCCGCUGUUCUGACGGUACCCAAAGAAUAAGCACCGGCUAACUUCGUG
rnacentral:rRNA from 1 species